GAACCAAUCUCGCUGAGUCUUUCGGUCUCGAAAGAGCGGGGAAACCAAUACAUAGAGCGCGGCGGUCCCUUUUAUACCGACCCGGGCUCGGGAUGUAUUUGAUUUCUUUUCAGGGUCUCAGGGGUGAAUUCGGCGCGGUCCGCCAUGAGCGGGCUGGCGUUGAUCGGGCGGCUCUCUUUCGCCCAAACCCGACAGCUAACCCCGUAAGCGACAUAAAGAGAGGGU
rnacentral:sRNA from 2 species